UACAGAGGUCCCGAGCGUUAGGCGGAAUCACUGGGCUUAAAGCGUGUGUAGGCGGAUGCCUAAGUACCUUGUGAAAUCCCACGGCUCACCCGUGGAACUGCUCGGUAUACUGGGUGUCUUGAGCCACUUAGGGGCUACCGGAACAAAUGGUGGAGCGGUGAAAUGCGUAGAUAUCAUUUGGAACGCCAAUGGUGAAAACAGGUAGCUGGGAGUGUGCUGACGCUGAGACACGAAAGCCAGGGGAGCAAACGGG
rnacentral:rRNA from 1 species